GGGUUAACGCCUCCGGGCACAAUCCCCACCCUUUGUAACCGCGGCCCGGAUUCGGCGCCUGGCGGGGACCGCCCCCCGUUCGCGGGGGGUCCCCGCCUGCCGGAAUUAGCCAACCCUGCCUAGAAAAUUGAAGUCUGAGAACAAGUUAAAUUAAACAAAACUUUCAACAACGGAUCUCUUGGUUCU
rnacentral:misc_RNA from 1 species